AUGCACACUAUAGUGAAAAGUAUUCCCCUUGAUGAGAGGAGUGAUCGUGUCUUUUGGGGACUAAAUCAGAAUGGCAAGUUCACCACUAAGUCAGUCUAUAAGAUGUUGGAGAGACCCCUAAGUGGGUGCCAUUAUAGAUGGAUUUGGAAAGCCGAGAUUCCUCUUAAAAUCAAAAUCUUCCUGUGGCAAAUGUCACAGGACGCAGUUCUCACUAGGCAAGUGAUGAGCAAGAGAAAAUGGCCAGGGAAUCCCUGUUGUUCUUUCUGCAAACAGGUGGAAACGGUGCAACAUCUGUUCUUUACUAAGGUUCUUACUUCAACUGACCCAUCCACGAUUUUUAGUCUACCUCUCUCGACCCAGGCGAGAGAAGAAAUCAAAGAGAUCCAGGAGGGGUUGCCGCAAAAUCGGCUGGCCGCCGAUAACUGUGAUGUCUGGAAUGCUUGCUCGGGCGUUUUUCGUCCAAGAAGUUCUAUAAUCACUGCUACAAACAGGUUGUGGCAGAUGAGGCGUUUGGAUGGCUCUGGAAAGCUAAAAGCCCGAUCAAAUUCAAGAUGUUUGGGUGGCUGCUCCUAG
rnacentral:rRNA from 1 species